AUUGAACGCUGGCGGCAGGCCUAACACAUGCAAGUCGAGCGGAUGAAGGGAGCUUUCUCCUGGAUUCAGCGGCGGACGGGUGAGUAAUGCCUAGGAAUCUGCCUGGUAGUGAGGGAUAACGUCCGGAAACGGGCGCUAAUACCGCAUACGUCCUUAGGGAGAAAGUGGGGGAUCUUCGGUCCUCACGCUAUCAGAUGAGCCUAGGUCGGAUUAGCUAGUUGGUGGGGUAAAGGCCUACCAAGGCGACGAUCCGUAACUGGUCUGAGAGGGUGAUCAGUCACACUGGAACUGAGACACGGUCCAGACUCCUACGGGAGGCAGCAGUGGGGAAUAUUGGACAAUGGGCGAAAGCCUGACCCAGCCAUGCCGCGUGUGUGAAGAAGGUCUUCGGAUUGUAAAGCACUUUAAGUUGGGAGGAAGGGCAGUAAGAUAAUACCUUCAUGUUUUGACGUUACCAACAGAAAAAGCACCGGCUAACUUCGUG
rnacentral:rRNA from 1 species